UCAAAAAGUAUUUAAGAUCGUAAAUUAAAUUGCCGGAGGUCUUGAGAAAAAUUCAUUGUAAAUUAAUAAAGAACAACAAUUUAAAAUGUAUUCAAUUGCAUGUUACAUUCUACAAAAUCUUAAAUAAAAGAUGCUCUGAUUUUGUUGUUGUUGUUUGGGGUGGUGUUUCGCUACUUGGAAUAACGCACUUUUACAGCAUUAUUUUAAGCAAAAUAUACUUUGUUGAUGAGUAGUAUGUAAUGAUUAAUUGUAGUACAUACUGUAGGAUAUAGUGCAUUCUAAAUGUUAUUUAUAAUGUUUCGAACAGUUAUUAUUAGAUCAACUAUUUUGUAAAGUAAUGAUUGUAAAAUACAUUGUAGGUGACAAAAGGCGCUAAUCGAAGAAAACAAAUAUCAGAGUCGAACAAUUACACAUGCAUAAGAUAUACAUGACCAAGAGAAGAACGAAUAGACAUGCAUAACAUCUCAGGUCAAAUAUUGAACAAGGAUCAGAAGAAAGAAUAGAUUUAGACAUUUGUGAAAGGAACAAUAGAAACUUUGGAAGUGUACUCUUUCUGAAACGUAUAACUACAACAAAGAUGUGAUCAUUGUAUUAGAAACUGAAUUUUCCAGUCUUCUAGUGGUUUAAUUAGCAUACAAUGAUAUAUACCUUCAUGUUUUUAUACACUUAUCUUUUUUAUAUUUUUUGAUCUUUAUAUUAUAUUUGAUCGAAGUAGGAAUGAAAAAAAAAACGGGAAUAUAUAAAUAUAUAAGAGAAAGUUAUUGCAUUUUAUACUUGGAAUAACUUAAAGAGGAGAUAUGACGUUUCAUUGAUCCUUGAUAUUAGCACAAUUGUACGUGAUAUUAGUAACUCAUUUUAAUGGAAUAUAGCGGAAUUCAGAUACAUCGGUUCGGAAAGCGAUGCGACCGUGACUCAGCCCAUAUGUUUGCUCGUAUAGAAUACCUUUUUUUAUCUUAUUUGAAAUCCCUUUUUAAAUCAAAAACUAUUUAUUUGUAUGAAUGGGAUCGUUCGACAAAGAUUAAAGAUAUCAGGAAAUUAUUGCUAUAUUUCUUACGAAGCUUUAAAACUUAAGUACUGACAGAUUAUAUGUUAUGGAACACUUCAGAAUUAGUUACUUUAACUAUUUUUCCAUUUUGAAAUGGAAACCAUUUGUAACGGGUAUCAAUUGUAAAUUGUCUCAAUUAUAAAGUUUUGUAUAAGCGGCUGUUACAUACGACUGUAUAUUAGUCAAAAUAGUAGGAAAGCUUUUACUGGCGAGGCAACCCAGUUCUAAUUUCUCAGCCGGACAUAUUUUUUGUUGAUUAAGCAUUUUUAUAUUAGUUUAGAAACAAAAGAUCAUGUUCUAAUACUCAUUAUAUGACAAACUUUCCAGAAGGAUCAUUCUUAGCCUAAAUCUGGAGUCCAGGUGUAUUUUAUUUUUUAAUAUACAUUUCUCUGUAAAGCUAUUGUAUUUCUUUUAAAUUGCAUACUUUUACUCUUUGUAUAAGAUACAUUAUUAUUAUUUUGAGUAAGCAUACAGCUGAAGCAUCUUUAGUUCAGCUGCUUUGUCUGUGUGGAUAACAUCAAAGCGUACAUAUCAAAAACACUAAAAAUAACAGAUAAGAGUGAAAAAUGUAAAUUGAAACAUUCGCAAUAUCUAAUUUUAAUAGAUAAUGUUUUAAAGGAGAUUCAGACCAGGAACUAAAGAACUAGGAAAUUCUACACGGUCGGGUAUGCGUGACACUAUACCACACGGCCGAUCAGUCGAUAAAAAGUAUUUAGAUAUUUUUCUCUAAUUAUGUGGUUGACCUUGCUCAAAUGACAGGUCAGCCCUAUUAAAAUUGCUAGUUUUAUGCAUGUGCAGGUUUUUCAUUUACUUUGCAAAUAAGUAAUAUAUGCAACGAUAAAGAUGUUUACUAAGAUUAACAUAUACAUACCCGAGAUACUGGAAAAAAUUAUUAACCACGGAUAGGAUAGUUUUGAUACAAGAACACCUUUAUAUUUUACUCUGUAGGUCUUAGUCGUGUAACGUAUUGUUGAAAUUACUAUUGUUAUAAUGAUAUCUUAAACAAUGUGCGUCAUUUCAAGUCUAUGAUUCACAGGUUUUAAUUUAUUCAUGCUAAUGUUAAAGAUCUAGUAAGAAAAGUAUAUUAGCAUUGGCAUUAUUGCUAUACCCUGUAACACCUUUAUACGUCUUUUCACAACAUACAUGUUUAUAUUUGUUAAAGGGAGCAAACUCAAAUAAAAGUGAUCAAUUUUAAAAUCGUUUUUAUAAGUUUGAGUUACGAAGAAACCAAUUAAAGGGAGCAAACUCUAUGAAAGUUAAACGUUUUAUUCUAUAUUUAUUUUGUGCUGUAAUGCAAAUUCUGUUGUUGCAGACUUACAAUGUGUUUCCUAGUGAGUACGUAUUCUAAUAAGAAAUAAUGUAAGACUAUGUAAGCACACAUAUUGUCAACAUAUUACUUACAUUUUAUUAGGGAAACAUUGUUUAUAGUAUUAACCUGCAAAGAUUGAAUUAAAAUCUGUAAAAUGA
rnacentral:lncRNA from 1 species